GGGUCCUUGAUGAAAUCUUGGUCUUGUCUCUACCGAGGUGUUGCCUGAAAUCUCUUGCACAAUAGAGAUAUGGUGAAGCCC
rnacentral:snoRNA from 1 species